AGAGUUUGAUCCUGGCUCAGAAUGAACGCUGGCGGCGCGCCUAAUACAUGCAAGUCGAGCGAGAAGACGUAGCAAUACGUUUGUAAAGCGGCGAACGGGUGAGGAAUACAUGGGUAACCUACCCUCGAGUGGGGAAUAACUAGCCGAAAGGUUAGCUAAUACCGCGUACGCUUCUUGGACUUCGGUUCAGGGAGGAAAGCGAUACCGUGGGUAUCGCGCUCUUGGAUGGGCUCAUGUCCUAUCAGCUUGUUGGUGAGGUAACGGCUCACCAAGGCUUCGACGGGUAGCUGGUCUGAGAGGACGAUCAGCCACACUGGCACUGCGACACGGGCCAGACUCCUACGGGAGGCAGCAGUAAGGAAUAUUGCGCAAUGGGCGAAAGCCUGACGCAGCGACGCCGCGUGGGGGAUGAAGGUCUUCGGAUUGUAAACCCCUUUCGGGAGGGAAGAUGGAAUGGGGUAACCCAUUCGGACGGUACCUCCAGAAGCAGCCACGGCUAACUUCGUGCCAGCCGCCGCGGUAAUAC
rnacentral:rRNA from 1 species